rnacentral:ncRNA from 2 species
UACGUAGGAUGCGAGCGUUGUCCGGAUUUACUGGGCGUAAAGGGCGUGUAGGCGGUCUGUCAAGUCUCAUGUGAAAUCUCCCGGCUCAACUGGGAGGGGUCAUGGGAAACUGGCAGGCUUGAGGACAGUAGAGGAAAGCGGAAUUCCCGGAGUAGCGGUGAAAUGCGUAGAUACCGGGAGGAACACCAGAGGCGAAAGCGGCUUUCUAGACUGUAUCUGACGCUGAGGCGCGAAAGCAUGGGGAGCGAACCGG